UGUGAUGGGGAGCGAAAUUUAGUAGCGAAGUAGCUGAUUUCACACUGUCAAGAAAAGUCUCUAUCGAGGUUAAAGGUACCCGUACCGCAAACCGACACAGGUGGGUGAGGAGAGUAUCCUAAGGCCAGCGAGAGAACUGUUGUUAAGGAACUCGGCAAAAUGACCCCGUAACUUAGGGAUAAGGGGUGCCACCAUCAGGUGGCCGCAGAGAAUAGGCCCAAGCGACUGUUUACCAAAAACAUAGGUUUCUGCUAAGUCGCAAGACGAUGUAUAGGAGCUGACGCCUGCCCGGUGCUGGAAGGUUAAGGGGAUCUGUUAGAGCAAUCGAAGCAGUGAACUUAAGCCCCAGUAAACGGCGGCCGUAACUAUAACGGUCCUAAGGUAGCGAAAUUCCUUGUCGGGUAAGUUCCGACCCGCACGAAAGGCGUAACGAUUUGGGCACUGUCUCAACAACAGACUCGGUGAAAUUGUAAUUCCGGUGAAGAUGCCGGAUACCUGCGACAGGACGGAAAGACCCCAUGGAGCUUUACUGUAGCUUGACAUUGGGUCUUGGUACUACAUGUACAGGAUAGGUGGGAGGCUUUGAAACCAGGACGCCAGUUUUGGCGGAGCCAUCCUUGGGAUACCACCCUUGUAGUACUGGGACUCUAACCAUAG
rnacentral:rRNA from 1 species